rnacentral:rRNA from 1 species
CCUUGUACACACCGCCCGUCACACCACGAAAGUUGGGUGCAACCAAAAACGGUGAUUCAACCGCAAGGAGAUAGCCGUCCAAGUUGUGACCAAUGAUUGGGGUG